rnacentral:misc_RNA from 1 species
GAUGAAGAACGCAGCGAAAUGCGAUACUUGGUGUGAAUUGCAGAAUCCCGUGAACCAUCGAGUCUUUGAACGCAAGUUGCGCCUCAAGCCAUUAGGUUGAGGGCACGUCUGCCUGGGCGUCACAUAUCGUUGCCUGAUGCCAGUUUCCUCGUGAUGGGUGACUGUGCAGGGCGAAUGAUGGCUUCCCGUGAGCAUUGUUGCCUCAUGGUUGGUUGAAAAUUGAGUCCUUGGUAGGGAGCGCCGUGAUAGAUGGUGGUAGAGUGACGAACGAGACCCAAUCAUGUGAGACCCCUACCGAAUUUGGCCUUCAUGACCCACAUGCGUCUUUGGAACGCUCAUGACGAGACCUCAGGUCAGGCGGGGCUACCCGCUGAGUUUAAGCAUAUCAAUAAGCGGAGGA